AUUUAGAGAUUAGAAUACUAAAAAAGGAACAAAAACGGCUGAGCCUUCAUACUCUAAAAAAUCCAGAAAAAACUUUGCAUUGUUUUGGUUCAAAAUUGCUGGAAUUUGUUCUCUGAUUUCAUUGUAUGCUUUGGACCUCAAAAUGACAUGUUGAAAUUGGCAAUGAGAACGUUGAUGACACACUGUUUCAUUGCAAUCUAUUCUAUAUUACUCAAUUCUGUAUUUAUUUAGUUUUUCUUUUAUGUGUUUAUGUGUUCAUUAUGCUGUUAUUGUUGAAGCUCAUUUGUAAGUUGAACAAGUAACUUAGUCUAGCAUGUUUUGAUUUGUGAAUUGGUGAGAGUCUUGUUAGAUAUGUUCAGUUGUGCUUUAGACUGUUGGGUUUAGUGUUGAGUAUUAUGUUCAAAAGCUAUGGUAUUUGAGAAUGUUUGGUGAAUGAUUGAACCAUACGUAAAGGAUUGAAUGGGAAUCCUUAGUUGGAUUUCAACAUUAUCUAGAAUUGAGGUAGUGAAUGUUUGGUUUAUAGUUGGUGUGUAAUUGAUGGGUGCAUAUGUGAGCUUGGUGGUUCUGUUUUUGUUUUGAAAAGGAGAAGAAACAUGCUCUUGUGUUCUCA